rnacentral:rRNA from 1 species
ACGGAAGGCAGCAGUGGGGAAUAUUGCACAAUGGGCGAAAGCCUGAUGCAGCUAUGCCGCGUGUAUGAAGAAGGCCUUAGGGUUGUAAAGUACUUUCAUCGGGGAGGAAAAAACAAAACUAAUAAUUUUAUUUCUUGACGUUACCCGAAAAAGAAGCACCGGCUAACUCCGUGCCAGCAGCCGCGGUAAUACGGAGGGUGCUAGCGUUAAUCAGAAUUACUGGGCGUAAAGAGCACGUAGGUGGUUUUUUUAAGUCAGAUGUGAAAUCCCUGGGCUUAACCUAGGAACUGCAUUUUGAAACUGAAAUACUAGAGUAUCGUAGAGGGAGGUAGAAUUCUAGGUGUAGCGGUGAAAUGCGUAGAUAUCUGGAGGAAUACCUGUGGCGAAAGCGGCCUCCUAAACGAAUACUGACACUGACGGUGCGAAAGCGUGGGGAGCAAACAGGGAUUAGAUACCCGU